rnacentral:rRNA from 1 species
CAAAGGUUAGCUCAGUACGGCGAGUGAAGCGGCAAAAGCUCAAAUUUGAAAUCCCCCGGGAAUUGUAAUUUGAAGAGAUUUGGGUCCGGCCGGCGGGGGUUAAGUCCACUGGAAAGUGGCGCCACAGAGGGUGACAGCCCCGUGAACCCCUUUAAAGCCUUCAUCCCAGGUCUCCAAGAGUCGAGUUGUUUGGGAAUGCAGCUCUAAGUGGGUGGUAAAUUCCAUCUAAAGCUAAAUACCGGCGAGAGACCGAUAGCGAACAAGUACAGUGAUGGAAAGAUGAAAAGCACUUUGAAAAGAGAGUGAAAAAGUACGUGAAAUUGUUGAAAGGGAAGGGCUUGCAAGCAGACACUUAACUGGGCCAGCAUCGGGGCGGCGGGGAGCAAAACCACCGGGGAAUGUACCUUUCGAGGAUUAUAACCCCGGUCCUUACUCCCUCGCCACCCCGAGGCCUGCAAUCUAAGGAUGCUGGCGUAAUGGUUGCAAGUCGCCCGUCUUGAAACAACGGACCAAAA